CGAAAGCCUGACGGAGCAACGCCGCGUGAGGGAUGAAGGCCUCUGGGCUGUAAACCUCUUUUCUCAAGGAAGAAGAUCUGACGGUACUUGAGGAAUAAGCCACGGCUAAUUCCGUGCCAGCAGCCGCGGUAAUACGGGAGUGGCAAGCGUUAUCCGGAAUUAUUGGGCGUAAAGCGUCCGCAGGUGGCUCUGUAAGUCUGUCGUUAAAACGUGGAGCUUAACUCCAUUUCAGCGGUGGAAACUACAGAGCUUGAGUGUGGUAGGGGCAGAGGGAAUUCCCGGUGUAGCGGUGAAAUGCGUAGAUAUCGGGAAGAACACCAGUGGCGAAGGCGCUCUGCUGGGCCAUAACUGACGCUCAUGGACGAAAGCCAGGGGAGCG
rnacentral:rRNA from 1 species